UUUUUUCCAGGUUUUCAUAUAUUUUGUUUUGCCUUGUAUAAAAUGAGAAUCUAACCUAUAUGUUUAAUAUUUUGUCUUCCAGUCGCAUACAUACGUAGUGAUCCAUCUUAUUGGAGGGGCACUUGCAUACAUGUUUGGUACCAUGUAUAUAUUUUGCCUCACUUUAAUUGAAAAAAAAAAUAAUCAAGGCAUCAGUAAUACCAUAUGUCUAAUAAGAAUGGGACUAUCUGUCUAUAGUCUGUUAUUGAUGCUGCUUUUGUUUUCAUGCGUCAUAUAUGGGCUCGUGAAAGGUGAAAUUGGAAACCCAACUGUAGAGAAUGUCCACUUAGCAGGGGCCGUGUUUGAGUGGCUUACAACAUUUGGACUGUUUAGUUUCCUGUUAACACUCAUUCCAGAUUUCCAGGUUUGUAUGUAAAUGUAAAUCUUAGGAACACAAUGUACAUAUAACUUUGUUAUGCCUUGUUCUGUGAUUCAUUCUCUAGU